rnacentral:rRNA from 1 species
GUGGGGAAUAUUGCACAAUGGGCGCAAGCCUGAUGCAGCCAUGCCGCGUGUAUGAAGAAGGCCUUCGGGUUGUAAAGUACUUUCAGCGGGGAGGAAGGUGUUGUGGUUAAUAACCACAGCAAUUGACGUUACCCGCAGAAGAAGCACCGGCUAACUCCGUGCCAGCAGCCGCGGUAAUACGGAGGGUGCAAGCGUUAAUCGGAAUUACUGGGCGUAAAGCGCACGCAGGCGGUCUGUCAAGUCGGAUGUGAAAUCCCCGGGCUCAACCUGGGAACUGCAUUCGAAACUGGCAGGCUAGAGUCUUGUAGAGGGGGGUAGAAUUCCAGGUGUAGCGGUGAAAUGCGUAGAGAUCUGGAGGAAUACCGGUGGCGAAGGCGGCCCCCUGGACAAAGACUGACGCUCAGGUGCGAAAGCGUGGGGAGCAAACAGG